UACGUAGGGUGCAAGCGUUGUCCGGAAUUAUUGGGCGUAAAGAGCUCGUAGGCGGUUUGUCACGUCUGCUGUGAAAUUUCGAGGCUCAACCUCGAACUUGCAGUGGGUACGGGCAGGCUAGAGUGCGGUAGGGGAGAUGGGAAUUCCUGGUGUAGCGGUGGAAUGCGCAGAUAUCAGGAGGAACACCAAUGGCGAAGGCA
rnacentral:rRNA from 1 species